rnacentral:rRNA from 1 species
GUUGACCUCGGAUCAGGUAGGGAUACCCGCUGAACUUAAGCAUAUCAAUAAGCGGAGGAAAAGAAACCAACAGGGAUUGCUCUAGUAACGGCGAGUGAAGCAGCAAUAGCUCAAAUUUGAAAUCUGGCGUCUUCGACGUCCGAGUUGUAAUUUGUAGAGGAUGCUUCUGAGUAACCACCGACCUAAGUUCCUUGGAACAGGACGUCAUAGAGGGUGAG